rnacentral:rRNA from 1 species
GACAGAGGGUGCGAACGUUGUUCGGAAUUACUGGGCGUAAAGCGCGUGUAGGCGGUCGUGCAAGUCGGGUGUGAAAGCCCUGGGCUCAACCCAGGAAGUGCAUUCGAUACUGCUCGACUGGAGUCCCGGAGAGGAUGGUGGAACUCUCGGUGUAGAGGUGAAAUUCGUAGAUAUCGAGAAGAACACCGGUGGCGAAGGCGGGUCUCUGGGCCGAUACUGACGCUGAGGAGCGAAAGCGUGGGGAGCGAACAGG